UUCGCCAUCAAAUCUCAAAGAAGAAGAAGAAGCAGAAGGUGGAGGAGACGUUACAGAAAUACAAUAUUUAGAGAAAGCUUUUCUAAAUGUUCUCGAAUGGCUGAGGCCUCGGGGCAAGGCACAGAACAACCUAAUUAUGUACCAGGGAGGACCGGCCAGGCAGCGUCCGGAAGGGGUCAUCCACGGUCAGGCCACAAUAGAAAACGGGGAGGUCAUAGGGGAGGUCAUCUAGAGGAGCAAAAUGAAUUAUAUGACUAUGAAGCAAAACACGCAUCACACAACAGCUCAUCUGCUAGAUUUGAGACAAGGGGAGGGAGGGGAAGAGGAAGAGGAGGGAGGGGAGGUAGGGGUAAUAGUGAGCGUUGGUCCCAGGGUCAACGAUGGUCAAGGAAUGAGAGUGAUAAUGGCUCCUCAGUGCAGGACAACAGAUCUGACCUUGGCCAACAGUUUAGCGGCUUACCUGCGUACUCCAAUAGGGAGAAUCAACAAAAAUACCCUGAAGAAGCAUGCAUGCGCGAGUUCCAACAUGAGCCCAAAGACAGCUGGCCACGAAUGUCUAGGAGAGGUCGAGAUACAAGAAAGCCGUUACCCAGACUGGGAGCAAAUCAGGAUGAUCAUGCAGCAGAUGUAGAUCAUACAGCCAGUGUAGUGGCCACCGAAUUAGAGCACGAACACAGGAACAAUAGGGGAUGGAGAGGAGGAGGAAGGCAGGGUCACUCUUGGAAGAAGGGGCCUGCUGUACACGCUAGCGACCAAGGCAACUGGAGAGAGAGACCACCACCACCAACGCACACGGACAAGGCAGAGGAAGAGAAAGUGAGAGAAGACAAACCCAGAGGAAGCAAAGAGGAGCCGAACUGGAGAGGUGCAAGUACAAAAGAGCAUGGGAGAAGACCUCAAAAUCAAGAGCAAGGACAAAGGAAAGGAGGACGUCCCGAGAAGAGGACUGGGCCGGUGAAACGUGUCGAGCUGCCCAAGAGCAAAGAGACCCAGACCGGUUGCCUGAUUGAGCAGCUGACAGAGGAGAAAUACGAGUGCAUGGUGUGCUGCGAUGUGAUCCGUCUCAUGGCACCGGUAUGGAGCUGUAACAGCUGCUUCCACGUCUUCCACCUGAACUGCAUCAAAAAGUGGGCUCGCUCUCCUGCGUCGCAGGCUGAUGAGAGUGGCGAAGGCUGGCGUUGUCCUGCUUGCCAAAAUGUGGCAUUGAAGUUCCCAACAUCUUACAUCUGCUUCUGUGGGAAGGUGACCAAUCCGGAGUACCAGCACAGAGAGAUUCCACACAGCUGUGGUGAAGUAUGUGGGAAGAAGAGGACUGGUGGAGACUGCAUUCACCGCUGCAACAUUUUGUGCCACCCAGGGCCUUGUCCACAGUGUCCAGCGUUUACUACUAAAUCCUGCGUUUGUGGAAGAACCAGUAAGCAGGUGCGAUGCAGUCAGACAGGAGCUCUGCGCUGUGACCAGGAGUGUGGAGCUCAGUUAAAUUGCAAACAGCACUGCUGUACACAGAUUUGCCAUCAGGUCCCGUGUCAGCCAUGUCAGCUCAGUGUGCAGCAGGUCUGUUACUGCGGGGUGGUGCACAGGGAGGUGGCAUGUGGGACUGACCAGGAGAACUUUGAUGGGUCCGGAUAUUUCUCCUGCCACAAGCCAUGUGGAAAGAUGCUGGAAUGCCAUGCUCACCGCUGCCAGAAGGUGUGUCACCCAGGACGGUGCCAGACAUGCCCUCUCUUGCCCAUUCUGGUGUCUAGCUGCCCUUGUGGACAGACGCCUUUAGCCAAGCUGCUGGAGCUCGGCUACCCAGAGAGACGAUGCUGCACCGACCCAAUUCCAUCCUGUGGAAAGGUCUGCAGCAAACCAUUGCCUUGUGGUGACAUCGACACCAUUCAUUUUUGUGAUAAACUUUGCCAUGAGGACAAAUGUGGCCCAUGCCCUCUCACAUCCACCGUUAAGUGCAGAUGUGGCAGUAAGAGCAAGGAGGUUCCAUGUGCUAUGAUCCACAGUGAAGACGAAUUGCUGUUUACUUGUGAGAAACGUUGCAGUAAGAAGCGCUCAUGUGGCAGACACAAGUGUGGAGAGAUGUGCUGUGUGGACUCGAAGCAUAAGUGCACAAUUAUCUGUGGCUACAAGCUUAACUGUGGUCUUCACCGCUGUCAGGAGGUGUGUCACAGAGGAAACUGCCAACCCUGCUGGCAAACCGGUUUUGAUGAACUGCCCUGCUACUGUGGUGAAACAGUCAUGUUCCCACCUAUCCCCUGUGGCACCAAACCACCUGAGUGCAAAAACACCUGCACACGCCAACAUGACUGUGAUCACCCAGUUUUGCACUCCUGCCACAGUGAGGAGAAAUGUCCUCCCUGUACCCACCUCACCAAGAAGUGGUGCAUGGGCAACCAUGAGCAAAGAAGUAAUAUCCCGUGCCACCUGCAGGAUAUCUCGUGUGGUUUGGUCUGUAAUAAAUUAUUGUCCUGUAGUCAUCACCGAUGCAAAAGAAUAUGCCAUCGUGGAGAAUGCCAAGUUGAAGGUGAUUGUAAGCAGCCUUGCCCUCACCCCAGACCUGAGUGUGGGCACCCCUGUAAUGCCCCAUGCCACCCUGGCACCCCCUGCCCACACACCACUUGCAAUGCCAAGGUGGCAAUGCAGUGCGAUUGUGGCCGCAGGAAGGAGACUAUUCCUUGCAUGGACGCAACCAGCUCCUCCCAGAGAUAUGCAGCUAUUGCUGUGGCCAGUAAGUUGUCAGAUAUGCAGUUAGGAGAGUCUGUCAACAUCGCUCAGCUCACGAAGAAAGACCAGAAACAGGCCAGGCUGGAAUGUGAUCAGGAGUGUGCAACGCUGGAGAGAAAUCGGCGGCUUGCAGAGGCGCUGCAGGUUGACCCGACAGUUGAUCCAUUCAACACCAAAUCCACUACGUGUAAAUACAGCGACACACUCAAGGAGGAUGCCAGAAAGGAUUUUAAGUUUGUUAGUGAGGUGGAGGAGGAGAUCAAGAAUCUGGUUGAAUUAGCAAACAAGGGCAAACAGCCAAAGAAGAGUCACUGUUUCCCCCCCAUGAAGCGUGAUCAGCGGAGAAUUGUUCACGAGCUGGCAGAGGUGUACGGCUUAGAGAGCGUCAGCUUCGACAGCGAACCCAAACGCAACGUGGUGGUCACAGCCGUCAGGGGGAAAUCUGCAUGCCCUACCUCUACACUGACUGCACUGAUCGAGAGGGAGACUGCUGCCCGGGCCCCACCACCCAUCGCCCACAUCAAACAAUGCAGCAGCAAAUGCAAAACAUCUUUCUGAGGUUAUUUCUACAGCUGAUGUUUUUAGGGUGUAUCAGAACCACUCCACUGGGACACUAGCAGUGCUUGGCAGAAGCAUUCUAAAGAGGACCCUAUCGAUUACUUUGACGUUCAGGAUUGAUUAAAACUGUGAUGUAUACCCAGUGAAAGGGCACUGUUCACGUCACUGUAAUCAUAUCAAAUAAAACUAGGCACUUGUGGACUCUUCUAAUAAAGCUUCCUCUAAAGUA